rnacentral:rRNA from 1 species
CCUUAGAGUUUGAUCCUGGCUCAGAAUGAACCCUUGCGGGAUGGAUUAGGCAUGCAAGUCGAACGAAGAAAGUCCUUCGGGACGAUUAUUAGUGGCGAAAGGGUGAGUAACGCGUGAGCAACUUGCCUCGAGGUCGGGGAUAGCCCUGCGAAAGCGGGAUUAAUACCGGAUGUGGCGGCUCUGCCGCAUGGGAUGGAAGGCUAAAGGAGCAAUUCGCCUUGGGAUGGGCUCGCGUCCUAUUAGCUUGUUGGUGAGGUAACGGCUCACCAAGGCGAUGACAGGUAGGUGGUCUGAGAGGACGAUCACCCACACUGGGACUGAGACACUGCCCAGACUCCUACGGGAGGCUGCAGUCGAGAAUCUUCCGCAAUGCGCGAAAGCGUGACGGAGCAAUGCCGCGUGAGGGACGAAGGCUUUCGGGUCGUAAACCUCUGUCACCCGGGAUGAAGAUCUGACAGUACCGGGAGAGGAAGCCACGGCUAACUACGUGCCAGCAGCCGCGGUAAUACGUAGGUGGCGAGCGUUAUUCGGAUUUAUUGGGCGUAAAGGGUUCGUAGGGGGUGCGGUAAGUCUGGUGUGAAAUCCCAAGGCUCAACCUUGGAACUGCACUGGAUACUGCCGCACUAGAGUACAGGAGGGGAGAGUGGAAUUCCCGGUGUAGCGGUGGAAUGCGUAGAUAUCGGGAGGAACACCAACAGCGAAGGCAGCUCUCUGGACUGUAACUGACCCUGAGGAACGAAAGCCGGGGGAGCAAACAGGAUUAGAUACCCUGGUAGUCCCGGCCGUAAACGUUGUAGACUCGGUGUGGGGGGAUUUGACCCCCUCUGUGCCUAAGCUAACGCGUUAAGUCUACCGCCUGGGGAGUACGGCGGCAACGCUAAAACUCAAAGGAAUUGACGGGGGCCCGCACAAGCGGUGGAGCAUGUGGCUUAAUUCGAGGCAACGCGAAGAACCUUACCUGGGCUUGACAUAUAAUGGACCGUCCUGGAAACAGGAUUUCCCUUCGGGGCCGCUAUACAGAUGCUGCAUGGCUGUCGUCAGCUCGUGUCGUGAGAUGUUCGGUUAAGUCCGGCAACGAGCGCAACCCGUGUCAUCUGUUGCCAUCAGGUAAUGCUGGGCACUCUGGCGAGACUGCCCGUGUUAAGCGGGAGGAAGGCGCGGACGACGUCAAGUCCGUAUGGCUCUUACACCCAGGGCUGCACACGUGCUACAAUGGCUGGCACAAUGAGACGCAACAUCGCGAGGUGAAGCAAAUCUCCAAAACCAGCCCCAGUUCGGAUUGCAGUCUGCAACUCGACUGCAUGAAGUUGGAAUCGCUAGUAAAGGCGUAUCAGCAACGGCGCCUUGAAUACGUUCCCGGGCCUUGUACACACCGCCCGUCACAUCACGGGAGCUGGAUGCACCCGAAGUCGUCGACCCAACCCUCGGGAGGGAGACGCCGAAGGUGUGCCUAGUGACUGGGAUGAAGUCGUAACCAAGGUAACCC